UACGUAGGGGGCAAGCGUUGUCCGGAAUCAUUGGGCGUAAAGAGCGCGUAGGCGGCCCAGUAAGUCCGCUCUGAAAGUCAGGGGCUCAACCCCUGAAUGCGGGUGGAUACUGCUGGGCUAGAGUCCGGAAGAGGCGAGUGGAAUUCCUGGUGUAGCGGUGAAAUGCGCAGAUAUCAGGAAGAACACCCGUGGCUAAGGCGGCUCUCUAGUACGUGACUGACGCUGAGACGCGAAAGCGUGGGGAGCGAACAGG
rnacentral:rRNA from 1 species